CUACUUUAUUCAGAUAUUCUCCAGAUUCCUAAAGAUUAGAGAUCAUUUCUCAUUCUCCUAGGAGUACUCACUUCAGGAAGCAACCAGAUAAAAAGAGGUGCAACGGAAGCCAGAACAUUCCUCCUGGAAAUUCAACCUGUUUCGCAGUUUCUCGAGGAAUCAGCAUUCAGUCAAUCCGGGCCGGGAGCAGUCAUCUGUGUCUUUCCACUAAAGUCGGAGUAUCUUCUUCCAAAAUUUCACGUCUUGGUGGCCGUUCCAAGGAGCGCGAGUCGGAAUGGAUCUUGAAGGGGACCGCAAUGGAGGAGCAAAGAAGAAGAACUUUUUUAAACUGAACAAUAAAA
rnacentral:lncRNA from 1 species